rnacentral:rRNA from 1 species
GAUGAACGCUGACAGAAUGCUUAACACAUGCAAGUCGAUGGGGAAGUGGUGCUUGCACCAUGGUAACCAUGGCGGACGGGUGAGUAACGCGUAAGGAACUUGCCUGCGGGACUGGGAUAACAGCAGGAAACUGCUGAUAAUACCGGAUAAGGUCAUUAAGCUGCAUAGCUUAGUGAUGAAAGGAGACGCCUGCGGAGAGCCUUGCGUCCUAUUAGCUAGUUGGAGGGGUAACGGCCCACCAAGGCGAAGAUAGGUAGCCGGCCUGAGAGGGUGGACGGCCACAAGGGGACUGAGAUACGGCCCUUACUCCUACGGGAGGCAGCAGUGGGGAAUAUUGGACAAUGGGGGCAACCCUGAUCCAGCAAUUCUGUGUGCACGAAGACGGUUUUCGGAUUGUAAAGUGCUUUCAGCAGGGAAGAAGGAAGUGACGGUACCUGCAGAAGAAGCGACGGCUAAAUACGU